AUUGAACGCUGGCGGCAGGCCUAACACAUGCAAGUCGAGCGAGCGGCGGACGGGUGAGUAAUGUCUGGGAAACCGCCUGAUGGAGGGGGAAAAAGUCCGGAAACGGGGGGUAAUAACGCAUACUAUCAGAUCAGACUAGGUCGGAUUAGCUAGUUGGUGGGGUAAAGGCCUACCAAGGCAACGAUCCGUAACUGGUCUGAGAGGAUGAUCAGCCACACUGGAACUGAGACACGGUCCAGACUCCUACGGGAGGCAGCAGUGGGGAAUAUUGGACAAUGGGCGAAAGCCUGAUCCAGCCAUGCCGCGUGUGUGAAGAAGGCCUUCGGGUGGUAAAGCACUUUCAGCGGGGAGGCGUUACCCGCAGAAGAAGCACCGGCUAACUCCGUGCCAGCAGCCGCGGUAAUAC
rnacentral:rRNA from 1 species